rnacentral:rRNA from 1 species
CCUACGGGUGGCAGCAGUGGGGAAUAUUGGGCAAUGGGCGCAAGCCUGACCCAGCAAUGCCGCGUGAAGGAAGAAGGCUUUCGGGUUGUAAACUUCUUUGACAGGGGAAGAGCAGAAGACGGUACCCUGAAAACAAGCCACGGCUAACUACGUGCCAGCAGCCGCGGGAAUACGUAGGUGGCAAGCGUUGGCCGGAUUUACGGGGUGUAAAGGGCGUGUAGCCGGGAAGGCAAGUCAGAGGUGAAAUCUGGAGGCUCAACCUCCAAAUUGCAUUUGAAACUGUUUUUCUUGAGUGCUGGAGAGGCAGACGGAAUGCCUGGUGUAGCGGUGAAAUGCGUAGAUAUAAGGAGGAAAACCAGUGGCGAAGGCGGUCUGCUGGACAGCAACUGACGGUGAGGCACGAAAGCGUGGGGAGCAAACAGGAUUAGAUACCCGGGUAGUC